rnacentral:rRNA from 1 species
ACUCCUACGGGAGGCAGCAGUGGGAAUAUUGCACAAUGGGCGCAAGCCUGAUGCAGCCAUGCCGCGUGUGUGAAGAAGGCCUUCGGGUUGUAAAGCACUUUCAGUUGUGAGGAAAGGUUAGUCGCUAAUAUCGGCUAGCGUGAUCGUUAUGCAACAGAAGAAGCACCGGCUAACUCCGUGCCAGCAGCCGCGGUAAUACGGAGGGUG